rnacentral:rRNA from 1 species
AGUGAACGCUGGCGGUAGGCCUAACACAUGCAAGUCGAACGGCAGCACAGUAAGAGCUUGCUCUUACGGGUGGCGAGUGGCGGACGGGUGAGGAAUACAUCGGAAUCUACUUUUUCGUGGGGGAUAACGUAGGGAAACUUACGCUAAUACCGCAUACGACCUACGGGUGAAAGCAUGGGAUCUUCGGACCUUGCGCGAUUGAAUGAGCCGAUGUCGGUUUAGCUAGUUGGCGGGGUAAAGGCCCACCAAGGCGACGAUCCGUAGCUGGUCUGAGAGGAUGAUCAGCCACACUGGAACUGAGACACGGUCCAGACUCCUACGGGAGGAAGCAGUGGGGAAUAUUGUACAAUGGGCGCAAGCCUGAUCCAGCCAUACCGCGUGGGUGAAGAAGGCCUUCGGGUUGUAAAGCCCUUUUGUUGGGAAAGAAAAGCAGCAGGUUAAUACCCCGCUGUUCUGACGGUACCCAAAGAAUAAGCACCGGCUAACUUCGUG